ACGCUCGACACCUACGGGAGCAGCAGUGGGGAAUAUUGCACAAUGGGGGAAACCCUGAUGCAGCGACGCCGCGUGAGUGAAGAAGUAUUUCGGUAUGUAAAGCUCUAUCAGCAGGGAAGAAGAUGACGGUACCUGAGUAAGAAGCCCCGGCUAACUACGUACCAGCAGCCGCGGUAAUCUGAGCGGGCUGGCAAGGC
rnacentral:rRNA from 1 species